GACGAAGGAUGCAAGCGUUAUCCGGAUUCAUUGGGUUUAAAGGGUGCGUAGGCGGACUUGUAAGUCAGUGGUGAAAUCUCUCAGCUUAACUGAGAAACUGCCAUUGAUACUGCAAGUCUAGAGUAUAGAUGACGUUGGCGGAAUAUGACAUGUAGUGGUGAAAUACUUAGAUAUGUCAUAGAACACCGAUUGCGAAGGCAGCUAACGAAACUAUAACUGACGCUGAGGCACGAAAGUGCGGGGAUCAAACAGG
rnacentral:rRNA from 1 species